rnacentral:rRNA from 1 species
CCUACGGGGGGCAGCAGUGAGGGAUAUUGGUCAAUGGACGAGAGUCUGAACCAGCCAAGUAGCGUGAAGGAUGACUGCCCUAUGGGUUGUAAACUUCUUUUAUAUGGGAAUAAAACGUUCCACGUGUGGGAUUUUGUAUGUACCAUAUGCAUAAGGAUCGGCUAACUCCGUGCCAGCAGCCGCGGUACUACGGAGGAUCCGAGCGUUAUCCGGAUUUAUUGGGUUUAAAGGGAGCGUAGGUGGAUUGUUAAGUCAGUUGUGAAAGUUUGCGGCUCAACCGUAAAAUUGCAGUUGAUACUGGCAGUCUUGAGUACAGUAGAGGUGGGCGGAAUUCGUGGUGUAGCGGUGAAAUGCUUAGAGAUCACGAAGAACACCGAUGGCGAAGGCAGUGCACUGGACGGCAACUGACACUGAGGCGCGAAAGUGUGGGGAGCAAACAGGAUUAGAUACCCGGGUAGUC